AUAUAGAUCCCACAAUGCGAAUUGUUUCAGGACAGGACAAUCUGUCUGAAAUGCUGUGUCUAGAGGAACCGGUUGGAAAGCAACUGUUGGGAAAGAGAUGAACAGGAAACAGUUGCCUGCAACGAUUACACCCGUGCAGGUAUUUCAACAUUUCUUGAACAGCACUACUCUAUAAGUAAAGGGAGCAUCCAGGUUGUAUCCAGAGCCCUCGCCUUUACACCGCCUCCACGGCUGCAAUCGUUGGGAGAGAUCUCAGAUAAAUCUUCAGCCAUGAGGAUUCUUUACUCCCUAUUUGCUCUAGUUUUUUUCCUCUUUCAAGUUGUUCCAGGGCACACUCAGAGCUGUCAAGAGCUGGGAGGUUUCUGCCAAAUUCCGCUAAGUAAGCCAUGCCCUUAUGGAUCCCUUCCAGCCAACUGUGGCAUCAAUGCGAGAUGCUGUGCAAAAAAACCUCUGACCGUAGAGGACUGCGCAGCCCUGGGGGGUUACUGCCACGUUCCCUUGAGCGAGGAAUGUCCCUCUGGUGUCAGCUAUCCAGCCAACUGUGGUAUUAACGCAAGAUGCUGCAAACCGCUCUCCUGAAGGAAGACACGGGCCAUUCCUUGUGGAGCCCAAGCCACACGAUCAGGAGGUGAAAUACAUGGAAUAGUGAAAUCAUCCGCCAAUUAAACGCUGAUUAAACAUAAGAUUUCACAACGUGUGUCUUUCAUUCCGAAUGCCGAUUGCAAAUUGCAGUGUGGAGAUGAGAGUGGUGUUCACCUAAUCCUGUUCAGGAUUAGGAGAGUUCACAUAAUCCUGUGAACUCUGUUUGUUUACAUGAACAUAUCUGUGGUAGAAACACUCAUGACCAUGAUUUAAAGGAGUGACGUGCAGGAGGGGCGUCUUUUUCCCAACAGGUAGAAAUGAGGAAAGCAAUAGUCUAAAGGACAGGAUCCUCCACCGCCUUCUCACUCCACCUAUGGAGGUUGAUUGAACUGGCAGUUGAAUCUAAUCCCAUUGUUAGGAUAGGGAUAGGAUUCUCUUCAGUGGACAUCAUGCUACCAGGAAUUAGGAUUGCAUGAAGGUAAUGGGUUGACCAGCAUUGGUGGCUGGUGUUCCUUGCAGCUGGUGGGUCAUAAUGCAGAUGGGCAGAGCCAGGACUAAUCAAGUUGAGCUG
rnacentral:lncRNA from 1 species